rnacentral:rRNA from 1 species
AUUGAACGCUGGCGGCAGGCCUAACACAUGCAAGUCGAGCGGAUGAAGGGAGCUUGCUCCCGGAUUCAGCGGCGGACGGGUGAGUAAUGCCCAGGAAUCUGCCUGGUAGAGGGGGAUAACGUCCGGAAACGGGCGCUAAUACCGCAUACGUCCUGAGGGAGAAAGUGGGGGAUCUUCGGAACUCACGCCAUCAGAUGAGCCUAGGUGGGAUUAGCUAGUUGGUGGGGUAAAGGCCUACCAAGGCGACGAUCCGUAACUGGUCUGAGAGGAUGAUCAGUCACACUGGAACUGAGACACGGUCCAGACUCCUACGGGAGGCAGCAGUGGGGAAUAUUGGACAGUGGGCGAAAGCCUGAUCCAGCCAUGCCGCGUGUGUGAAGAAGGUCUUCGGAUUGUAAAGCACUUUAAGGUGGGAGGAAGGGCAGUAAGUUAAUACCUUGCUGUUUUGACGUUACCAACAGAAUAAGCACCGGCUAACUUCGUG